rnacentral:lncRNA from 1 species
CCUAAGCCCCAGUGAUCUGCUGGCCUCGGUCUCCCAAAAUGUUGGGAUUACUGGCGUGAGCCACUGCACCGGCCCAGAAACAGAAUUUUGACGGUGGAACUUAAAACACUUCCCUGCACUUCCUAAAAUUAGAUUCAUUUGGCAACUGGAGGAAGACAAACGUAAAAGACACUCUGUUUCAGAAAAGAAGUUGUAGAGCCCUUUAAAAAAAAUGUCUGAAAGCUCAGUUUAGUAUCUCAACAUGUUAGAAAUGAAAGGUACAGUGCAGAGUGCCGCCCCUCUUCGCUGCCUGGUACAGAAAAAAUAUUCAGUAUUUGUUGGAUGGAUGAAAUUGUAUGUAAAGGAAGAGGGGAAAAGUGAGGGCAGCUAAAUGCAGAAAGACCGAAAUAUAUUUGUCGGACAGUGACGGCUUUUAGGAAUGUGGAAACACUAGUCUGAAUUUCUCAAUCUUCUGCUGUGGUUCUCCACAUACGGCGCAGAACAAAAGAUGGAGGUCCUCUAGCUCAAGAAUUCUACAAACAGAGAUUUGCUGAGCUAAUGGAGUUUGACAGUAUCUACUUUGUGUGUGUCAAUGGACAACCAUUAGAGAUGAAUUCUACAGAGAGGCUUGCUCAGGCUGGACAAUUAGUAAGAAGACAAAGCAUUUUGAUAAAAAAAUCUGAUCAGAAGAACUGGUCUUGGCUUGAGCAAUCUAAAGACCUAAUCCUUAACAUUGUAUUAUCCGAUUUUAUAAAGUGCUUCUUGGGGAAUGCA